GAUGAAGAACGCAGCGAAAUGCGAUAAGUAAUGUGAAUUGCAGAAUUCAGUGAAUCAUCGAAUCUUUGAACGCACAUUGCGCCCAUUAGCAUUCUAGUGGGCAUGCCUGUUCGAGCGUCAUUUCAACCCUUAAGCCCCGUUGCUUAGCGUUGGGAGCCUACAGUACUGUAGCUCCCCAAAGUUAGUGGCGGAGUCGGUUUCACACUCUAGACGUAGUAAUUUUUUCUCGUCUGUAGUUGAGCCGGUCCCCUGCCGUAAAACACCCAAUUUAUCAAGGUUGACCUCGGAUCAGGUAGGAAUACCCGCUGAACUUAAGCAUAUCAAUAAGCGGAGGA
rnacentral:misc_RNA from 1 species